rnacentral:rRNA from 1 species
CACUUUUGGCAGGAAAGAAACGUCAUGGGCUAAUACCCCGUGAAACUGACGGUACCUGCAGAAUAAGCACCGGCUAACUACGUGCCAGCAGCCGCGGUAAUACGUAGGGUGCAAGCGUUAAUCGGAAUUACUGGGCGUAAAGCGUGCGCAGGCGGUUCGGAAAGAAAGAUGUGAAAUCCCAGAGCUUAACUUUGGAACUGCAUUUUUAACUACCGGGCUAGAGUGUGUCAGAGGGAGGUGGAAUUCCGCGUGUAGCAGUGAAAUGCGUAGAUAUGCGGAGGAACACCGAUGGCGAAGGCAGCCUCCUGGGAUAACACUGACGCUCAUGCACGAAAGCGUGGGGAGCAAACAGGAUUAGAUACCCUGGUAGUCCACGCCCUAAACGAUGUCAACUAGCUGUUGGGGCCUUCGGGCCUUGGUAGCGCAGCUAACGCGUGAAGUUGACCG